GCUCCCUCCAGGUCUCCAUGCUCAGGCUAGGGAAUGGGCUGCCCGUGCAGGGUGGGGAGGGGAAGCUUGCCGGGGACAGGGACCAGGCUUCUGGGGAGAUCGUGUGGGGUCUGUUCAGCAGCCCUGGCCCGGGGGAGGGGUGCCCCAGACAGCAAGACUACAGUUUCUGAGUGAAGCAUGGAGCCCCUUGGACGGCGAGGCCGUAUACACGCGAGCAGGGAGCGCGGGACAGUCUGGCGUGGGUGGGACGCCAUGGAGACACCACCUCCUUCUCCGUGGGGAGGCCCCGGCUCCUUGGCGGGUCUUGCGGCCCAGCCCCUGCGGGCUGACAGGAGAGGGCGCUGCAGGGCGGCCGGACGAUGCCCACGUCAGGCCGCGGGCGCGAAAGCCUUCAGCCACACUCGCCGAUCCAAGGGAUGGCCAAGGAUCUGCCCCUGCCCAGGCCCACGCCCAGCCUGGGGGAAUCAUUGAGAGGGAAGGCUCGGCUUCCCCCGUCACCUCGUCCACCCUGAGCCACGUCCACCGCGCUGGGGUUGGCCCUCCCGCACACUCUGGUGGUUUCCUGUCUGCGAGGGGAGCUGUGCGCGCUUCAGUUCUUCCUGGAGGACGCAGGUUAGGGCCGGACUCGCCUGACUGCUGCCCUGAGCCUGGAGCCCGGCUUGCUCUCCUUUGACUCGGUUUCUGCCCUCUGCACUGUGGGGGUGCCGAGGCACGGAAGUAAACAAAGACCAUCCAACCAACAAGGACUCUCGCUCAGGAGUGAUGCCAUGGCAGGACGGGGAGAGCUUCAGAGUGGACAGGAGACCAUUUCCGGUGUGCCUGGCAGGAGGCUUCCAGCCUAGGGAUCAGGAGGCAGCUACCUGGAUGCGGGACACCCCAUUUAAUUGGCCAGAGGAACAUAUUUGGCUUUUGCUUGGAAAAGAGGAUAAGUUGGAAACAGAGAGCACGGGAAGAGAAUAUUGUGGCUGCAGUUCUUGAAAACCCUGCCUCAUACUGUGGCUUUGGGAAGACAGAGAAGCUGACUGCAGGAGCUCCACCUGCACUUCCUGCUCCAGAUGCUCCCUCCAUGGAGACCCCUGGAAUAAACCAGAGUGGGGCCCCAAAUGCCAAGGAACUUCUUGCCAUCACCCAUUUCUGAUGGCUAUUGCCAGCCCCAGCAGGAAGAGGAGAAGCUGGACUGAAGGUGGUAAAGAAGCCCAGAAGAGGCUGCAGUCUCUGCAAAAGCACUGAGAUGCAAAGGCCCCACUCCUCUGAGCUGGUUUUGAACUUCUGGCUUCAGGAGAUCCUCUUGCCUCAGCCUCCUUGAAUAGCUGGCACUACAAGUAUGUUCCACCGUACCCAGCUUGCAUCAGUAGUUGAAGUAUUCUAGAGGCCAAGCCAGGAGGAGUUCAAGCCCAGCCUGGACUACAUAGAGAGACCCUGUCUCAACACUCACCCCGCCGAAAAAGGAGGCUUAGAAAAGCAAGAACAUGAUCCAGGCCACAUUAUGGACCAGCUGGCUCAGACACUAAUUGUCAGAAGAUGGCAUUGACUGGGCCAGGGAUUUAGCUCAGUGGUUUCGCCUCCUGAUGUGCAAGUGCAAGGACCUGAGUUCAAUCCCUGGUACCAAAAAAAGAAAAAAAAAAGAUGGCAUUAACUUUCAGUGCUGGGGGACCAAAUCCUGCAUGCUAGGAAAGUGCUCUACCACUGAGCUACGUCUGCAGCCCAAGGUCACCAUUUUGCCUGCCCACCAGCAGUGUAUGUGGGUUUAGGGUGAUUCACAGCUUUGCCAGCGCUUGGUGCUGUCAGUCUUGUUAUUUCAGACUUCACAGCAGGACUUUGACACCAUCCAUCUAGGUAGAACCUCUGGCUAAGCUCCCAGGGAGGAGGAGAAAUGCCAAUUUUACAGAAAACUCAAGAAGAUCCAUUCACCUGCUUCCUGGGAGAACAGAUGGUAUUUUGCCUGAGGAAUAUGAAGAAUGCAAAUUUGCUUUCUCUCACUCAGGAUGGAGUUGGUGCUUAUAAAAAGAUACACAGACUAAUAAAUGCUGCCAGUUUGCAAAGCCAACUUAUCCUAGUUUUUUGACAACAAAAUGGUACAUCCUGCAAGAUGUUACUUCUCCACUUGAAACACAUUUUUCAUCAAGCCAAAUAAGUUGCCACAGAUGCCACACCUCCUUCUUACAUGUGUCUUCCUGCCUCUGCCUCCCAGAGUGCUGGGAUUACAGGCAUGUGCCACCAUGCCUAGUCCUACAAACUUCCUCAAACUGUGGAGUCAGGGUUCAUCUUGAUCUGUGUCAGGUCUGAAUACAGUGCCCUCUGGGUCUCUGCUGAGGCUGUCACGUGACACCAGAGUGAAGAGCAGAGGUGACCAAGGGGGAGUGGUCCUUCAGACCCUGGCUGUAGCUCCUAUUCUGUAUCUGGGAAGACUCCUAGCUCUGGCCUCUUGUGAACCCCAGGAAGGAUGGGACUUCUGAGUUCUCUCUGAGCUUGUCAUGCAGUGCCAAUAUUACACUGUGUACUACAUUAAAGGAGGCCUCUGAGUUUUCUUCUUGUGCAACAGGGUGGUCUACUUGGGGAUAAGAGACCGUGGGCCAUCAGUCCAAGGGGCAAGAGCAGUGGGUACUGCCUGGGACGAAGGGUUGCUCUUUCCAGCUCUACCAUUGCCUUGCUGCUGGACCUGAGCAAAGAACUUGACUUCUGUGAGCCCCUUUGGCUCAUCUGUAACCUGGCAGCUCUGCAGUCUGACCUGCCCAUCUCAUGGGAUUAUUGCAAGAUGCACAUGAUUGAGCAUAGAACAUUUCUGGAAAGAUGCAGCCAGCCCAAACUAUUCAGUGGCUUCUCUGGGAAACAGAAGAAGGAAGAGAGCAGAGAGGAGGUCAUGAGGAUUAACAUUUUCAUUUUCAAUCAAUUGUGAUUUUAUUUCAUUUUUUUAAUACAGGGAUUGAACCCAGGGCUUUACAGUGAGCUGCACUUCCAGCCCUAUUUAUUUAUUAUUUUGAAACACAGUUUCACU
ensembl:lncRNA